GUGUUCACUUUGGCAGCACAUAUCCUAGAAUUGGAACGAUAAAGCCAAGAUCAGCAUGGUCCCUGCACAAGGGUGCCAUGCAAGUCCGUGGAGCGUUCCAUAUUUUU
ensembl:snRNA U6 U6 spliceosomal RNA